rnacentral:rRNA from 1 species
UACGUAGGCAGCGAGCGUUGUUCGGAGUUACUGGGCGUAAAGCGUGCGUAGGCGGUGUCUUAAGUUUGUUGUGAAAUCUCCCGGCUUAACCGGGAGGGUGCGGCGAAUACUGAGAUGCUGGAGUGCGGGAGAGGUAAGCGGAAUUCCUGGUGUAGCGGUGAAAUGCGUAGAGAUCGGGAGGAACACCAGCGGCGAAGGCGGCCCCCUGGGCCGCUCCUGACGCUGAGACGCGAAGGCCAGGGUAGCGAACGGG